UACGUAGGGCGCAAGCGUUGUCCGGAAUUAUUGGGCGUAAAGAGCUCGUAGGCGGUCUGUCGCGUCGGCUGUGAAAACCCGAGGCUCAACCUCGGGCCUGCAGUCGAUACGGGCAGACUAGAGUGCUGUAGGGGAGACUGGAAUUCCUGGUGUAGCGGUGAAAUGCGCAGAUAUCAGGAGGAACACCGGUGGCGAAGGCGGGUUCUCUGGGGCC
rnacentral:rRNA from 1 species